CUAUUAGAAUGUUGGAGCUGGAAUGGACCUUAAAGGAAGAAGCAUAGUCCAAAUUUCUGAUUUUACAGGUCAUGUAGUCAUGUAUCCCAAGCUGGGCUGGACCUUGGAGGUGACCUAAUGCAACCUCCUCGUGGGCAACAUGAGGAAACUGAAGCCAAGAGAUGUGACCCAACUUGCCCAGAACUCAUGCUAAAUAUUUGUGAAAAGACCACCAGGCAACAGAUUAUCCUAUGUUGAUGGAGAC